rnacentral:rRNA from 1 species
UACGUAGGUGACAAGCGUUGUCCGGAAUUAUUGGGCGUAAAGAGCUCGUAGGUGGUUUGUCGCGUCUGUCGUGAAAGCCCAUGGCUUAACUGUGGGUCUGCGGUGGAUACUGGUAGUCUUGAGGGAGGUAGGGGCAGGUGGAACUUCCGGUGGAGCGGUGAAAUGUGUUGAUAUCGGAAGGAACGCCGGUGGCGAAAGCGACCUGCUGGAUCUCUUCUGACGCUGAGGCGCGAAAGCUAGGGGAGCGAACGGG